UACGGAGGGUGCAAGCGUUGUUCGGAAUUACUGGGCGUAAAGGGCGCGUAGGCGGCCUGCUAAGUCGGACGUGAAAUCCCUCGGCUCAACCGGGGAACUGCGUCCGAUACUGGUGGGCUCGAAUCCGGGAGAGGGAUGUGGAAUUCCAGGUGUAGCGGUGAAAUGCGCAGAUAUCAGGAAGAACACCCGUGGCGAAGGCGGCUCUCUGGGACGGUACUGACGCUGAGACGCGAAAGCGUGGGGGAGCGAACAGGG
rnacentral:rRNA from 1 species